rnacentral:rRNA from 1 species
AUGCCGCCGCCGCCACCAUCACUGCCGGGCGAGCUCCUCGAGGAGAUCUUCCUCCGCCUACCGCCGCACGAGCCCGCGUGCCUCGUGCGCGCCUCCCUCUCCAGCAAGCUCUGGCUUGUCCUCCUCUCCGGCCCUCGUUUCCGCGGUCGCUACCAUGACCACCAUGGAUCUCCUCCCAUGCUGGGCUUCCUUCGUGGGCUGCCACCGGGCGAAAAAGGUCCCGUCCCGCGCUUCACGUCCACCGCAAAAUUCGGCGCCCGCAUUCCCGACGAUGAAUGGGACGACUGUGACUACUUUGCGUGGGACUGCCGCCAUGGCCGCGUCCUUCUUGGGGAUGCGCUUAACUCCGUGCUCCUCGUCUGGGACCCCAUGACGGGCUGCCGGAGGGGGCUGGACUGGCCCAACCUGGUGGACGAUAGCCGCGGGGUUGCCGUGCUAUGCGCCCUUAGCGGCUGUGACCACCGCACUUGUCACGCGGCUCCCUUUCAGGUGGUUUUUGUCGGCAUGGAAAUGGGAGAAGAUGAGGAUGAUGAUUGUGCUGCAUUUGCUUGUGUGUCCUUGCCAGAGACCGGUGACUGGAGCAAGCCAUGCCCUACAUUGGAUCAGUGGGGCGAGCCAUGCCCACUUCUUCAUCUUCCAGCCGAUGCAUUCAUCAGGCCAAUCCCCCCCUGUCCUCAUCCAAGAAGCACUUCACUUCAUGAUUCAGUCUCUUAA